GGGCGUGUGGUGGAAUGGUAGACACGCUAGUCUUAGGAACUAGUGCGAAAGCAUGGGAGUUCGAGUCUCUUCACGCCCACCA
rnacentral:tRNA from 2 species